GACGAACGCUGGCGGCGUGCUUAACACAUGCAAGUCGAACGGAAAGGCCCUGCUUUUGUGGGGUGCUCGAGUGGCGAACGGGUGAGUAACACGUGAGUAACCUGCCCUUGACUUUGGGAUAACUUCAGGAAACUGGGGCUAAUACCGGAUAGGAGCUCCUGCUGCAGGGAGGGGGUUGGAAAGUUUCGGCGGUUGGGGAUGGACGCGCGGCUUAUGAGCUUGUUGGUGGGGUAGUGGCUUACCAAGGCUUUGACGGGUAGCCGGCCUGAGAGGGUGACCGGCCACAUUGGGCCUGAGAUACGGCCCAGACUCCUACGGGAGGCAGCAGUGGGGAAUAUUGCACAAUGGGCCGAAGCCUGAUGCAGCAACGCCGCGUGCGGGAUGACGGCCUUCGGGUUGUAAACCGCUUUCGCCUGUGACGAAGCGUGAGUGACGGUAAUGGGUAAAGAAGCACCGGCUAACUACGUG
rnacentral:rRNA from 1 species